UGGAAAAUUCAGUGGGCACAGCAUU
rnacentral:piRNA from 1 species